AGAGUUUGAUCCUGGCUCAGAACGAACGCUGGCGGCAUGCCUAACACAUGCAAGUCGAACGCUUUUGGGGCUUCGGCCCCAAGGGAGUGGCGCACGGGUGAGUAGCGCGUGGGAACCUGCCCUGUUGUGGGGGAUAACCGAGGGAAACUUCGGCUAAUACCGCAUGCGCCCCCGGGAGUGAUCCUGGGGGGAAAGAUUGAUCGCAGCAGGAGGGGCCCGCGUCGGAUUAGCUAGUUGGUGGGGUAACGGCCUACCAAGGCACCGAUCCGUAGCUGGUCUGAGAGGAUGAUCAGCCACACUGGGACUGAGACACGGCCCAGACUCCUACGGGAGGCAGCAGUGGGGAAUAUUGGACAAUGGGCGCAAGCCUGAUCCAGCAAUGCCGCGUGAGUGAUGAAGGCCUUCGGGUUGUAAAGCUCUUUCGCCCGCGACGAUGAUGACGGUAGCGGGAGAAGAAGCCCCGGCUAACUUCGUGCCAGCAGCCGCGGUAAUACGAAGGGGGCGAGCGUUGUUCGGAAUCACUGGGCGUAAAGGGCGCGUAGGCGGCCCUGCUUGUCGCGUGUGAAAGCCCCGGGCUCAACCUGGGAACGGCGCGCGAGACGGCGGGGCUGGAGUUCGGGAGAGGAGAGUGGAAUUCCCAGUGUAGAGGUGAAAUUCGUAGAUAUUGGGAAGAACACCGGUGGCGAAGGCGGCUCUCUGGACCGAGACUGAGCUGAGGCGCGAAAGCGUGGGGAGCAAACAGGAUUAGAUACCCCAGUAGUCC
rnacentral:rRNA from 1 species